AUGCUGAUCCACUUCUCCCGUCUUUCUUUGGAAGUGUAUGCAAGCCCAGUUCUUUCAGUCCUUUCCUGGAUUCAGCAUAUGAAGACUGGAAUGGAUUAUGAGCUUUUGAAGAACAUGGCUUUGCUCUUGAGUGAAGGGCGUGUGCCUGUACAUAGGCCAUAACUGCAGAUUUUUCCUAACCUUUUUCUAAAGUCCUCAAAUUCUAGACAUGUAUUUCUACUGCUUCAUAAAUAUCACAAUAUCAUACAUUAUCUAAUCAUUUUUUGCCAGGUAAACUACCAGUAUUACAAAGGUCAGUUUGUAUUAAUUAAUGUGCAAUGGUGAAUACCUUUUGGAGUUUAAGAACAUCACAGUACUGUAAAAGUGCUGCAAAUAAAUUCUUUCACACGUGAAUUUAUUUUUGUUAA
rnacentral:lncRNA from 1 species